rnacentral:lncRNA from 1 species
GGCAGUUGUUAUCUUGUUCGUUUCUAUGCAUAUUGCAUUGUCCUUUGUUUUUGUUGCACUUCAGUGUUCCAGUAGUUUCUUGUUUUCCUCUUGUGGCUGAUGUGUUUCCCUCGUUUUAGUUUGUGGCCCUGAUUUGUUUUCUCUCAAUCAAUUUGUAACUUUUAAACAGCGGUUCACUACUGUUGCCUUUAUUUCCCUUUUUUGAAUUUACCAAGGAGUUCGGUUUAUCUUGUUUAUACUUUUUGGUCAAUGCUUUCUUCCAAGUUUCCUGAAAAAGAAGCAGGCCCAGCAGGAAACAGUUUAUAUGCAGUGAUUCCAGGUUCAAACUUGAAU